CGUGCAGAAAUUAGACUAUACUCUCCAACAAUCAAGAGGGUCAUGGGCUUCACUUGCUUUCCUGUGACGUGGUCUGCCAGUCGAUGUGGGAUGGAGGCCUUGGGAUCUAGUCUUUACUGGUCAGAAGAGAGGCUACGAUAUCUAUAUAUGCCACUAGAUUUCUCACUUAGUCUGAUUAUUUAUGGAGUAGGAUGAUGAGGGCUUGUUAUGAGGCAUAGAGCUAGGAGUCUCAUAUUCAGAUUGAUCGUGACUGUUCAUUCAUUUGGAGAGAGAUCUAUGCUCAUGCUCCUACAGUGGUGGCCCAAGUGAG
rnacentral:lncRNA from 1 species